rnacentral:rRNA from 1 species
CUUGACUGUAUCCUGGAAUUGGGUUCGGGCUUUUCUUGCGCAGCCUAGGUGGGAGGCUAUGAAGAUUUCCUUCCUGGGAAGUUGGAGCCAUCAGUGAGAGACCACUCUGGAGAGGCUAGAAUCCUAAUGGUGAUCCUUGAAUCAGGACACUUGACAGUUUCAGGUGGGCAGUUUUUCUGGGUCGGAAGCCUCAUAAAGGGUAACUGAGGCGCGCAAAGGUCCCCUCAGUCUGGACGGAAAUCAGACAACGAGUGUAAAGGCAAAAGGGGGCUUGACUGCAAGACCUACAAGUCGAGCAGGAGCGAAAGCUGGCCUUAGUGAUCAGACGGUACCGUGUGGAAGGGCCGUCGCUCAACGAAUAAAAGUUA